GUAAAUGCUUGACGCGGUUUAGACCGACUGGAGGACUCGAGCCUAGGGUUUUUUGGUUGGUCUGCCCACCAGCGCGCGUACGACCACACUUGAUAGCCAAAGCCAAAGUGAUAUACCCUCCUCCCCGCCGCCGCUUCCACGCCUAACUCUAGUGCCGCCGCCAGUGGUUGUGCUCUGCCCCCUCCAGCGGAAAUCUCUUUGGACGGGGCGGCGAAUACGGGGAGUCGCCGCAGAUGGCGGACCGUUUGACCCGUAUCGCGAUCGUGAGCGAGGACAAGUGCAAGCCCAAGAAGUGCCGCCAGGAGUGCAAGAAGAGCUGCCCCGUUGUCAAGACCGGAAAGCUUUGCAUUGAAGUUAGUCCAGCGGCCAAACUUGCAUUCAUUUCUGAAGAGCUGUGUAUUGGUUGUGGUAUUUGUGUUAAGAAAUGCCCAUUUGAUGCCAUUGAAAUCAUCAAUCUUCCAAAAGAUUUGGAGAAAGAUACUACCCAUCGCUAUGGACCGAAUACCUUCAAAUUGCACAGGUUGCCUGUUCCAAGACCUGGUCAAGUUUUGGGUCUUGUUGGAACCAAUGGAAUUGGGAAGUCAACAGCACUUAAAGUCUUAGCUGGCAAGCUGAAGCCCAAUCUGGGACGAUUCAAAAAUCCACCUGACUGGCAAGAGAUCCUUACAUAUUUCCGUGGGUCUGAACUUCAGAACUAUUUUACGCGCAUAUUGGAGGAUAACCUGAAGGCAAUCAUCAAGCCGCAGUAUGUUGACCAUAUUCCAAAAGCUGUUCAAGGAAAUGUAGGGCAAGUACUUGAGCAGAAAGAUGAGCGGGAUAUGAAAAAUGAGCUGUGCGUUGACCUUGAAUUGAACCAAGUUAUUGACAGAAAUGUAGGAGAUCUGUCUGGUGGCGAGCUUCAGAGAUUUGCAAUAGCAGUUGUUGCUGUACAAAGUGCGGAAAUUUACAUGUUUGAUGAGCCAUCAAGUUAUUUGGACGUUAAACAGAGGCUUAAGGCUGCCCGAGUCAUUAGGUCUUUGCUUAGAUCAAACAGCUAUGUCAUCGUUGUCGAACAUGACUUGAGUGUCUUAGAUUACUUGUCCGACUUUAUUUGCUGCUUAUAUGGGAAGCCAGGUGCUUACGGUGUAGUUACGUUACCAUUUUCGGUCCGAGAAGGUAUCAAUAUUUUCCUGGCUGGAUUUGUUCCAACAGAAAACCUUCGGUUUCGAGAUGAAUCUCUUACAUUUAAGAUUGCGGAGACCCAGGAAAACGCAGAGGAAGUUGCUACGUACCAGCGGUACAAGUACCCUACCAUGAGCAAAACACAGGGAAAUUUCAAGCUCUCUGUCGUUGAGGGUGAAUUCACUGAUUCUCAGAUUGUUGUGAUGCUUGGUGAGAACGGCACAGGGAAAACUACAUUCAUCAGAAUGCUGGCCGGGUUGUUGAAGCCAGAUACCAUGGAAGGAAGUGAGGUUGAAAUUCCUGAAUUCAAUGUGUCCUACAAGCCUCAAAAGAUCAGCCCAAAAUUCCAGCAUCCAGUGAGGCACUUGCUGCAUUCGAAAAUACGCGAUUCAUAUACUCAUCCUCAGUUUGUAUCUGAUGUUAUGAAACCACUACAAAUUGAGCAACUCAUGGACCAGGAAGUCAUUAAUUUAUCAGGUGGAGAGCUCCAGAGAGUAGCAUUAUGUUUGUGCCUUGGAAAGCCUGCAGAUAUUUAUUUAAUUGAUGAGCCAAGUGCAUAUCUCGAUUCAGAGCAGCGUAUUGUUGCCUCGAAGGUUAUCAAAAGAUUCAUCCUUCAUGCAAAGAAAACUGCAUUUAUUGUGGAGCAUGAUUUCAUCAUGGCAACCUACUUAGCGGACAAGGUUAUUGUUUAUGAGGGACUUGCUUCUAUUGACUGUACUGCCAAUGCACCACAGUCUUUGGUAUCUGGGAUGAAUAAAUUCUUAUCGCUGAAGGGGCAUCAGACAAUCUCUUGGCAAAUUCACAUGGCCUAACAACUCCCACAUGAGAAAAACAACCACCACAAGAUCCCUCAAAAUUGCCCAUUAUUGAACUACAUGAUUCUUGCUACAAUGUCCAAACCAACAUCAGACCUUGCGGUAACUUAGAAGCAUCUUGACAUUACAUUUAGAAGAGACCCGACCAACUAUAGGCCACGAAUCAACAAACUGGAAUCAACGAAGGACAGAGAACAAAAGAAUGCAGGGUCCUACUACUACCUAGAUGAUUAAUGAGAGGGGCCAGCGCAGAUUCUUGUUGGACGUCAAUAAUGUUCCGAACCCUUCUGGAUCAUGCGCAAGGCUAACGAGAAGUUGCCAUGACGUGUGUCCAUGGGACAUGCGAAUUGGCCACAGGAGUGAAGCGCAUCGAGUGUGGUGCCUGGGUUUCAAAGAAGCGCAUGUGUUGAAACUGUACUUUUUGUUGGUUUGAGCUGUGGGGAGAACGAUCGUCAGUUUUCUUGUAUUUGCAUUGCUGUAUCAUGGCUUUACCAUCUCAUAUUUUUCUAUCGUGAAAUCUUAUAAUGCAUAUUCUCUUGGAGCUUA